GUCACGAUGGCCAUGCGGUUAAGGCGUUGAACUCGAAAUCGAAUGGAAUUUCCCCGCGCAGGUUCGAAUCCUGCUCGCGACG
rfam:Schistosoma mansoni, Puerto Rico, WGS project CABG01000000 data, contig: 0105